AAUCUACCAUCCGGUAGUAUAAUUGCAAGAGAUGGUCGGUUGUCAUUCAACUGACUUCGUAUCUAAUCUACAAGGAUGUUUUCUGACAACAACGUGACGUUUAUUCACCCGGGCCGAUUGUUCAAGCUUCGAUGAACUUACAUAAUUGAUGCUGAUUUUGCCUUCCAUUAUUUCAGUAUUUCUCUUGCUCAACUUUAUCUUUUUUAAAGGAAUUCAAAAAAUCUAAAUUGUGUUUUAUCUCUCGAUUAUUACCUCCAGAUUGAGAUAUCGGUGCCUAUUUCCCCUGAGAAAUAGCCACAAAAGCGAAAAGCUUAUCAGUCUCUCUUAAGUUAGCUAAUCCUAGAUUAUUACCACGAUUCAGUCACUUAUACGGGCCAUAGAUUGUAGCUCCUUUUUUUCCUAAAGUUCAAAAAGAAUAUAGGUUUAGUGUUGAUUCGAACCACCAUUUAACAAAAUAGAGCAACUUAACUACAAAGUGCAAAAAUAGACCCUAUUAUCAUAAAAGCCUCUAGUCAUCGCAGCUAAUAUAUUCGUAUUCUGCUUUCUAUAAUCCUUUGUCGGAAGCCGACAGAUCUCAAUAUAUUAAAGUGGAUUUCUCGCUACUCUUAACGCCCAAAAAAGAGCAAUUUAGUCUUCUCAACUUUUACUCUCGGAAAGCAGAACUAAUUUAUUUUUAGAACUCUGUUCCUGUUAUUUUAAUUUUCAAUUUUCCGACAGUCUUGUUCAAGUUCAACAUGUGUCGUGUUUCCCUGCAAAAGAGCAGCUUUAUCAAGACUCUGAGUCUGUUCACGUGUCUGAUUGUAGUGCUACAACUGACUACUCAACCUCAAUUAGUAUCCACGAAGAUCGUCAAUUCACUCUCUAUGAGGAACGUUCAUAAUGGCGGAUUGGGGGUGGACAAGAAGUUCAGCUGGAAGUUUCCUUCCCUCAGGAAGUUCAAAGUGGGGGGAUCAGGAAAGUCACGCUGGUUUGACUCCCGCUGAGGCAAAAAGAACCAAAAAGAAGAAAAGUACAUUCAACUACGCGUCAGCUGAUCCAGAUUAUAUCUACACAACAUCAAUUAAAAUGCUUAGUUGCGGCUGAGUCUUGAAGAAUAAGUCAAACAAUCCUGUGGUGUUAUUUCAAUGUUAUGUUGUGAUGAUUUAUUGUGGUACAAAAUUUAGAUGAAAUUAAGAUUUUGAUUACAUUCGAGGAAUUGUGAAGCAAGUUUGAGAUACAUUUUU